rnacentral:rRNA from 1 species
AUACGGAGGGUGCAAGCGUUGUUCGGAAUUACUGGGCGUAAAGCGCGCGUAGGUGGUCUGUUAUGUCAGAUGUGAAAGUCCACGGCUCAACCGUGGAAGUGCAUUUGAAACUGGCAGACUUGAGUACUGGAGGGGGUAGUGGAAUUCCCGGUGUAGAGGUGAAAUUCGUAGAUAUCGGGAGGAAUACCGGUGGCGAAGGCGACUACCAGGCCAGAUACUGACACUGAGGUGCGAAAGCGUGGGGAGCGAACAGGAUUAGAUACCCCAGUAGUCC